UUUAGGUGCAAUCAUGAGUUUUCGCGCUCAACUUUGAUCGUUCGUCUUAUUUGAAUUUUUUUUUAUAAUUAGUAGUAUUUUUUAUUGUUAUGAGAUGAUAAAAUAUGAAUAGUAAUUUGCUCAUAACUUAUGUUUUUAAAAUUUUUCAAACAGUUUCAAAUAAAACGGACGAUCAAAGUUGGGUGCGAAAAAAUAUGGCUGCAUUUAUA
rfam:Oryza meridionalis cultivar OR44 (W2112) chromosome 3, whole genome shotgun sequence.